UGUUGUGAUAAUCAUGUGAAAAGAUCCGUCCUAAUAGUAUAUAAAAUCAUGUACCAUUCGUGUAGAGAAAUCAUUAACCACCAAACUUUGCAUAUGUUGAUUUGCAAGACCCUACGUUUAUCGACUAGAUAUCACGAGCGAGAUUAAGUUAUAGAAAAAGUAUGGAUUUUCAAAUUAUCCAAAGAAUUUAGUUCUUUAGUGAGUGAAGUGAAAGUUAGGAUAUAUGCUGACCAGGAAUAUAAGAAGACAUUUGAUUGACAGAUCCAGCUCGACUUCGUCUGCCAAGAGAUCCCCAAUUGCGGUAGUCACCAUCAGAGGCAUCUGACGAGUAACCAUUAGACAAAAGUCGGAUGACGCCAAGGACUGUGAUACGCUCAGCGCUGUCGGAGAGAAACGAGGCAAUCAUAUCAAGACUCUGUUGACCAUCAUGCUU